GUUUUAAUAGUUUAAAUAAAAACAUUGGUCUUGUAAAUCAAAAAUAAAGUAGUCUUUUUAAAACU
rnacentral:tRNA from 1 species